ACGUACAUGUCAAUAAUUUCUGUUUUGCACUUGUAUGUUUAGAAAUAAACCUCUAGGUGCACAUUUCGAUUCUUCUACGUCAUAUAGUUCUUGCUGGAUUUGGUUGGGUAAAAUGAAAUUUUGAAAGUGAAUUAGAUCUUUUCCUAUGUAGGGUGAAUUUGGUAUAGUAUAAGCAAAAUCCAAAAGUUAAUUAAGAAGACGAGGAACCAAAAUACCUACGUUGGCCACCCUUCGUUUUCCUCGCAUUAAUAAGGUAACAAUAUGUUGGUUUCAAGGGUGCUAGCAAAAGUGUUGCUUGUUCUCCGGCUGCCGAAGUUGGGGAAAUGUGAUAUAGAUGCAGCUUUUCAAGAGUAAUAUGCCUUAUUGUGUUGAGGUAAUUUGGUUGGCAAAACCUUUCUAUUUUAUGCCUUUUAGGGUUAAUGGAGUCCAAAUGGAAUAACAAGAACUAUUGACAAAAAAAGAGAAUACUUUAGUUGUCCCAAAGGGAGUGUAUUGCUAUAAAAAGCAUUGGAGGCGUAUACGCGAGAUACUUUCUUCUUUGCAUCAGUUAAUUCUCUCUAUGAGAUCUUAUUAAAUGUAUUGUGAAUGGUUCUUAGAGGCCAAAAUAGUUGUCAAACUCAUCAGGAAAAAACAUGGAUAUGUCCUCUGAGAAAUUCUUUAUAGUUGGGAAAAUGUUAAUUUUUUUUUCCUUGGACCCUCACCUAUUCAAGUAAGUUUUUGAUUUUCGUACAAGGGAAAUAUACAGGAAGUCUGAUUCUCCUAGCCUAAUAGAUUUAAAUAAUUUGGUCAAAUCUUCGUCUCCUCAACUUGUGCAACAGCCCGUCUCAACUAGAAUAUAUUGAUGUAAGCAAAGAAUUGGAAGGUGGAAAAAGUAAGAGGGUUUGUUAUUCAGUAUUGAUGAAAGCAGUAGCUAAUUUUCAUCAGUUUACUUGUUUAUCUUAAAUAUUUACUCUCUUUGUUUUUUAGCAGAACGGUCAAAGAAUGAAUCACAUCAAAUCUUGGUUGUUUACUUCAUGACGGCUAGAUUACAACAAGCAACAUCAGCUAUAGUGCUCAAGAUGUAAAAUUCCUUUCUGGUGAUGUUCUGUUUGCCCUUUCAGGUACCAAACGAUCAUGUCAUUGCUUCUACUCCCUCAGUUAAGUUCUUGGUUAGUUAAAAAGACGAUGGUAUGUUGAAAAUUCAGAGACAGAAGUUCAAGUGCGAGCAGUGUUGACCGACUUAUGCCGUAUUCAAAGAUUUCAAAAUAGGGAAGUGUAAUCCACCGGAACUUACUUUGUUCUCCUGAUAUGGUUCAUUCACCUUUUCCUCGAAGUUAAGAUCUAAAAUUCUCCGACUGAUAAAAAGAACAACUAAUAUUCUCCUUAAGAAAGUUAAAUCAGAACAGAAUUAGUAUAAAGGAAUGAAAAAGAGUUUCGCUUUUCUUUACCUAAAAGACAAAAAGAUUGUUUUUCUUUUCAGAAUGAAACGAAAAACAACUUCCAAAGCAGAUGUUUUCAUUAGGCAUCAACCUAGAUAUAUAUUCAGAAAGCUCUUCCAUUUAUUCGCACCUGUAAACCAACUCAUCAGAGUCCAAAAUAAUUUGUGUAAGAAACAAGAUACUCUGAUAAUGUCAUUUGCUUAGCAUAUCCAGCAGCUUCGAACAAAUUGUGUCAUGAUCAUCAACGAAAAAAACCCUCAUAAUAACUGGAGAAUUGUCAUACUCCCUCUGUUUCAAUUUAUGUGAACCUAUUACUAUUUGGGGAGUCUACGCGGUGGUACUUUGACCACAUUUUUCUUACAUUAUUUCUAAAUUAUUUGAAUUAUAAAUUAUCUUGAUUUAUAGUACUUUUAACGUAGUUUCUAAAUAUAUAAAUUUUAUUUUUACAACCCAUAAUUCCUCUGGUUUCUUCCACAGUCAUGUGUGAAGCCACAAAACCAAAAAGACCAACAAGAGAAAAAGAUCACCCAAACAGAAUUCCCGAAACUAUGAAAGAUGCAUGUAAAAACAAGUAAAUCUCCAUUACACAUCCGUAAAAAGAGA